AGUUAUGAAUUUAGAAUAUCAUCAAGUGACUUUUAAUAAGGCACUGUUUUCAGUGGAUGAACCGACAUCAUGCAGUGUGACAGGAAAACGCCCGUGAGACCAAAGAUGGCUUAGAUAAAAGGGAAGACGAUGCAGAAGCCUCUGUACCAGAGAAAAAUCCAGAGAUGGCCCUCAAAGAAGUUAGAAACAAGAUGAGAGACCGUCUCAAGUUGUUUAGGUCUGGAGCCACCUUCCCCCACCCACGAGUCGAAGAAAUAGAUCUUUGAACCACUCCAGGUUACCCGUGACAUCAAGAUAAACAAAAUUCAACUUCAGGGACAAUUUGAUAAUACCUGUUUAAAAAUUUUUUUUAGCUCACCUGGGCCGAAGGUUCAAGUGAGCUUUUCUGAUCAAAAUUUGUUCGUUGUCUGUCGUCGGCGAAAACUUUUCACAUUUUCAUCUUCUCCAGAACCACUGGGUCAAUUUCAACCAAACUAAGUGACACAAAACACCCUUGGGUGAAAGGCUUUCAAGUUUGUUCAAAUGAAGGGCCAUGCCCCUUCAAAGGGGAGAUAAUCGCAAAAAUACGGUGGGGUCAUUCAAAAAUCUUCUCAAGAACCACUGGGACAGAGAAGCUGAAAUUUACAUGAAAGCCUCCUGACAUAGUACAGAUUCAAGUUUGUUAAAACCAAUGACCUGGGGGGGGGGGGGGGUUGGGGGGUUGGAUUGGGUCUCAAUAGGGGAUCAAAGUUUUACUUACAAAUAUACAGGGAAAAUCUUUAUGAAAAUUGUCUUCUCAAGAAACACUUGGCCAGAAAAGCUGAGAUUUACAUGAAAGUUUCCCAACAUAGUGUAGACUCAAGUUUGUAAAAUUCACAGGGUUGUCACUAACGCAAGAAUAGGAUCACAGAAAUUUCAUUGGGGUUUGUCUGAUAUGGCGAGUCCCGCAGACGUGUCUCGGACUCUGAGUAAAAAUCAUAAUUUUACUUAGAAGCCCUGAUUUGUGUAUUAAUUAAAACUCAUAGGAAAAAAUCUAGGUAAAACGUUACGCUCUAAUGUGAACCGAGAUGAUACCACCGAGUUCACAGUGUCCCAAUCCGACUUGUUUGUUUAGUGCAGUCAAUUAGGUGCAAAUUAGAAUAUAAUAUUGAAAUUUAGAUACAAAGUAAAAAACAUUUUGCCACUCACAGGCAGUUAUUUAUAUAUGUUUCUUUUUCUUUUUUUUUACAAAUCAGGAUCUAUAUUUAAUUAUAAAUGUUUGUCUUCCGGUAGCCAUUUUUAUUGGAAUUGAAAGUAGCGUAGUUUGUAAACUUUGGUAGAUUUUACAUCAUUUUACAAACAAAAUUAGUACGCAUCUAUUUUAUCACAAUAAUUAUUUAAUUAAAAUUUUGUUUAAUACUGAAUAGGGUUGUAACGAUGAUAGAGGAUUCGGGGAAGUAAUUCUGUUUGCAAUGGGCAAUUAGUUGUAUGAGACCGAGUCGUGAAUGAUUACUUUUAAUUUCAUGUGUACAAAGUGAUCAUUGCACUGUUAUGCAUGGGCUUGGCGAAAAUUAACUGAUUUUUGCCAUUUGUUGAAGAUGAAAGUGAACAGAGGUACGACAUUAGCUUGUGUUCACUCGGUAUAAAUAAAGGUGUAGGAAAAAUCUAAAUGACUCUUUAAUUCAACUUUCAUGGGACUCGUCAAAUUUUCAUGGGACUCAAGCUGCUUACAAACCAUGAUACCGGGACUCGUCUUCAAUAUUUUCUAGUGACAACCCUGAAUCGUGGCCCCCAAGGGUAGGUUUUGGCCACAUUAUAGGGACAAAGGUUUUACAUACAAGUAUAUGGGAAAUCUUUAAAUAUGGACCAAGAUGACUAAGGUGAGCGAUGUGGCCCAUGGACCUCUUGUUUAAUUAUUUGUUUACGUAAGAAAUAGUGCUUUUUAGCUCACCCCAGCCAUAAUUUAAAUGAACUUUUCAAAGUACUUGCUUUGGAAGUUCAAAUAAGUAUUGCUGAAAUUUAUGUUUUUGUAUGUUAAAUAAAUUUUAUUAUCAGAUUAUCAUUUUGAUUCAUAAUUUCAUUCUUAAUUGCCACUUUUACAGAAAAGAUAUCACAUAUCCUGGAUCUCGAGUUUUAUUCCACAGUAGGGUAAGACCAAAACAGGUUAGUAGGAUAAAUUGGGACUUUCCAGGAGUCCUGCAUCAACUCAAAAAGCAGGAUUUUUAGGGAGAUCCAAUAAAAUCCUGCAAAAUCCCAGUCCUGUCUACUGGGACUUUCCAAGACAUGUCCAGAAUAAUCCCACUUUCUCCCCUUUCAGAUUGCAGGAUUAAGUGAGACUUUGCAGGACAAUAAAAGGCAAAUUUAAGUGUUCAAAUUAUCCUUAAAAGUCCUGAAAUGUCCCACUGCCAAUACCGUCCCUCUAAUUCCUUGUCAAUCUCAGUUUCAAAAAAGCAGGACUUUUCAGGACAAUCCUGAUAAAUCCUGGAAUUUUGUCUUGGGACUUCCUGGGAUAUCCUGCUGUAUUUUCAAUGGGGAAAUUAUCCUUAAAAGUCCUGAAAUGUCCCACUGCCAAUACCGUCCCUCUAAUUCCUUGUCAAUCUCAGUUUCAAAAAAGCAGGACUUUUCAGGACAAUCCUGAUAAAUCCUGGGAUUUUGUCUUGGGACUUCCUG